UUGGCCCGUAGAUCUGCAGAUCUUUUGAACUGCUGUUUAGAAACUUUGUUGUGACGCUAUAAUUUUAUAAAAUAGAAGAAAAAGCUUCUUUGUGUGCCAACUUGUGGCUUGUGUGUGCUGUCGCGUCGGGCCAUGCCGAUGCGGUAUUUUAAAUAGUUUCUCGCAACGCUAAGUUACCAAAUUGGGAGUCAAACAGGCAGCACUAUGAGAACAGCGAGAAGAGGAAGUAGAAGUAAGAUAGGAAGUCGUAGAUAUCAGGACUACACAGAAGAUACUUUACAGAAGUGUUUGGAAGAUAUUAGGGAAGGUAGACUUUCUCAGAGGGCAGCCGAGAAGUUUUGGAACAUCUCCCGCAGCACAAUUAAAAACAAACUGAAAUGUCUGCACUCUAAAAACCCAGGUAGGCAGCCAAUACUAACCAGACUAAGGCCGCGUCCCAAGUGGCCUUACAGCUUAGGAGGCUCCUGUUAGGAAGAAUCGGUCGUCUCUAGACACUUGGCCAAAACCCAUCCCUGGGCUCCGGACACAAAUCAACAUCAAAUCAACCAGGAAGAAAGCCAGAUGCACAUAACAGACAUGUAUAACGUGCAGUGUGUGUUCUACCUGUAGUCUGCCGUAAACAAGUGCGGGUACUGUGGCUAGAGUGGGAGAUGAAGUAUUUCUGGUAUGCCACACCACCAAGUGAUAUGUGGCUAUCAAAAUAAAGUGAAUUAAUUUUCCACUGGUUUGCAAGCCAUUUAAUGGCUGAUGCUAAACUCUGCCUGUCUUCUUACAAUUGAUGUAGCUUUGCAAUACAGUGAAACACCUUAUUUACGUUACCGUUAUUUACAUUUUCCCGUUAUUUGCACUAUAUUCUUCAGGUCCCAUUUGGUUCCCAUUUAAUCCAAUACAAUACUUUCACGCGAAUUACGUCUCAAAAAUCGAAUCCAUCCCGCUAUUUACGUCACGUAAAAACGAUAGUAGGCCUAAAAACAUUGUGAAAAACGUAACUUUUAUAGUCGGCAGUGAACAUUUUAAAUCGCAAAAUAAACAUAUUUUAUAACAUGAAAAGUUGCUUUUAUUUCUAAACAUAUAAUAAUUUAAGCCUAGGCGUGUAAAAGUCCGAGUAAUUAUAGCAGGAGACAAUCUAAAAUGUACUCGGUAAAAACAUAAACUCACGAAUGUAUAAACUUUCUGUUACUAUAUUUAUGUCACAACUUAGCUGAAAUACUGGUACGAGACAUAAACUUCACUAGAUAAAAUGAGCGGAGUCUUGGUAACUGUUUUAAACGUAUUUUAUAAUUUCAGAAGUAUUGUACAGUUGACGCAUAUUUUUUAAACUAACCAUUUAUAUCUGGGGAUCGUAAAUAAUUAAUUAUUGGUAUCAAGACAUCAAGGUGAACGUAAACUUGAACACGUCACGGCAGCGAGAAAACUGGUGCGUAUACCAAUAAACUGGUAUUAGAACUGGACAAAACUGGUACACGGGAGGUGGAGCUUAUAUUUUUUUCCGCUAAGCUCGCAUCUAUUGGCUGGCUGCUGAUGGAACGUCACGAGUCUGGGCGGAGCGUUGAGUGAGUUAUACUGCGCAUGCGCAGCUCAGACAACAGAGAGAGCCAGCCGGCAGCUACGCCGCGCCAUAACAGCUGAUUGAGUACGAUGACCUUUCUACGCGCACGGUGCGCUAUUGACGGUCAAUUUCCAAUUUGCUGCCUUUUUUUUUUUAAUUUUUUUACUGUGGUGCAAUGCGUAUGUGUAAUGUAGCCCGCAUUUGUUAUGAACGCUGCAGGAUGCGACUGUAUUUUAAUUAACUUUAACGUAUUUCUUACUUUUCCCUUUAUUUACACUUUCCCGCUUUUUACACUUUUUUACGUUGUCCCCAUGAAAAGAGCAAAUAAGGGGUUUUGCUGUAUAUAGUAAAAGGUGCACUUGUAUGCCAACUACCCUUAGCGGACCAACUCUGCCGAAAAACAUUAGACGGCAGACCAAAAGAAUAAGAUAUUCUUACUGUAACUGACAAUAGUAAUUUAAAUGGGGUGCAAAUAAAUAUUCUAUAGGGAACAUAACUGUGCACCAAUAUAAAACAUAGAAACACUCAUACUUCAAACUGAAUGUAUUAACAAUACAACUUUAACAUAAGGUACUUGUGAACUGUAGAUACUCUUCAUGCGAAUCUAUGUAGUAUCCACCAAUUAUCUGCAUGGAAACCUCUUUCACUUUACAGAAGGCCACACACAGCACUAGUCUGUGAAAAACAUAGAUAACUACAUGUUCACACACACUGGUCAAUAUUGCUGUAUAUGAUUAAAAACACUAAUUAAUUUCCAGAUAAUGGGUUCACUUAGUGGGCUUUAAUACUACAUUUAUUUCUGGGGUAAUAUUAUUUAUAUUUUUUUCCCCCCAGUUAAAUCGGGAAUCUAUAAGAAGUACUGUAAGCUUUUUGCAAAAGCUGUACUAAACAAUUAAGGGAUGAAUAAUAUUCUCAUUUUAUCUCUCAAAAUAAUAUUUUAAAAUUUAGUAGUGACUAAAUCUUUGGUAUUUGAAAAGACACACAAACUUUAGCCCUUGAGCAAAACACUCAUAAAACUGUGCACAAAGUAACACAAAUAUCAGGUAUACAUACACUUUUAAAUUUUACAUAACUCUCUCAUAAACUCAAUAUUACAAGAUUCAGCACAAAUUCACACACACAAAAAAAAAAAACUAUUUAUGCAUUGUCUGCAGCUAGUUAGGGUGGGCAUUUAGGUACAAUUAGCAAUGGUUUUUAGUUGUAUCACCACAAUACAUCAAUGGCAAAAUUGUAUUAUUUUCUUUCAAUAUGAAUGUUAAUUUUCUUUACUCUGUUCACUCUAGUCAGUAAGAGCAAGAGAAACUAGGCGUUGCUGAGUGACUUACCUAAUAAAAGCCAUAAAUGUUUCUUAAAAUGCUACACACUUACAGCAAGAAUACAAAAGCCAUCAAUGAAUCAGACAAACAAAAGUCCCAGCAGGAGUACUUAAAAAUAGGCCUGUGUAAAUAUUCAAACAGUUUAUUGUUCGUAUUCGAUUUGAUUUUGAAUCACGUCAAAAAACAAAAAACAAAUAUACAGUCGUUUACUAAUACGGCUGUACGAGAUCUUUGAAGUCUGGAAAAAUAUUGGGAUCACAGAAGAUUUUCUUGAGGGGCAGGAUAAGGAUAAAUACAUGUCCAUAAAAAUAAAAACCCUGCACUGGUGUUAAAGUUGACAGUUUUCAGAUCAUAGGGUACCAACAUGGCAUUCCAGCCCUGCGAUCAGUUCCCCCCCCCCAGAAUGGAGCAGUGAGGGGAAAAAACUUGUAUAGAUAUCGUGGAAAACAUUUGGUCGGAUACUCACAGCAAAGACUCCUAAAGCCUAACAACCUACGACAAGAUUUAUCUGGCCAUUUUCAUGGAAGUUUUGGUACCUUCACACUACAACACAGGUUAUACAAAAAAAAUAGUGAGAAUGUGUGUAAUCAGGGGCGCAACAACACAAGGGGGGGGGAAGGGUAUUUUGCCCCCCCUCUGAAACCUUGAAAUGGGGGCAAAGAAAGUGCUGUGUAAUCAAUUUUUAGAUAAUAAAACUGCUUAAAUAGCACCAUUUUCCACCUUGAAACACAAAUUUUCCCGGGGGAGGACCCCUGGACCCCCCGCUUCAAUAAGGGGGAUCGACGAUUCUUUAUAAAAAGUUAUAUUGCCCCCCCCCCCCCCCCCCCCCCUUUUUGGAAAUUUAGUUGUUGCGCCCCUGUGUGUAAUCAUAUGAAAAAAAAAAAUUCUGUAACCCUAAAUAAUUGUAAUAUGUAUAUUUAUUUGUACUUUGUACUAUACACUUAAAUUCUUUCAAGAGUAUUUACACAAUUAAAGUCUUUAGCUUUGGUUUUCAAUGCCGGUGCUAACAAUAAAAACACGACUAUACAAGAGUCUGGUGAAGUGAAUGUGCGGAAGCGAGGGGGGCUCAGAGCACGCCCGGCUGCUCGGGGAUCAGCGACGCGAAGAAGCUGCUGAAGAAGGUCCAGGCGAGGGCGAGCAGGGACGGCCGCUCAGGCUGCUGGGGAGCGCCCGACGCGGAGUCGCUGUCGGAGCCGCUGGCCGCGUCCUCGUCCGGCGCCGGCGCCGGCACGUUGUUGUUGUCGGCCGCGCGCCGUGCCGCCUGCACCUGCAGGAACCCCCGGUGGUAC